rnacentral:misc_RNA from 1 species
CCAAUAGCGUAUAUUAAAGUUGUUGCAGUUAAAAAGCUCGUAGUUGAAUUUCGGGAUCAGUAGGUCGGUCGUGCCACUGGUAUGAACUGGUCUCACUGGUUCCUCCCUCUUGACGAACUGCAAUGCUAUUAAUUUAGUGUUGUAGGAAAUCAGGACUGUUACUUUGAAAAAAUUAGAGUGUUUAAAGCAGGCUUUGGCUUGAAUACAUUAGCAUGGAAUAAUGAAAUAGGACGUUCGAUCCUAUUUUGUUGGCUUCUAGGGUUGACGUAAUGAUUAAUAGGGACAGUUGGGGGCAUUAGUAUUCAAUUGUCAGAGGUGAAAUUCUUGGAUUUAUUGAAGACUAACUACUGCGAAAGCAUUUGCCAAGGAUGUUUUCAUUAAUCAAGAACGAAAGUUAGGGGAUCGAAGACGAUCAGAUACCGUCGUAGUCUUAACCAUAAACUAUGCCGACUAGGGAUCGGAUGAUGUUAAUUUUUUAAUGACUCAUUCGGCGCCUUACG